UGAUAAAAACAGGAGAGAAACAAGGAGAUACAGAAGGAAUAUCCAGAAAGUACUUCCACACUGCAAAAGGCUGGCGUAGAAGAAUAAAAGACAAGCAUCGGAGACAGCUGUUCCUCCAGCUUUGGGAAGGAAAGGGUAGCAGCACUUGGUGGCCGCGGCAGUCCUUGGCUGAUGCGCGGGGGGCUGUGCCCCCCAAAAAGGCAGCUCUCCCUGGCCCCAAGGAUGAGCAGCAGCUGGGGACUUCCCCAGCCAAGGACAUGGGGACAGGGCAGCGUUUCUUCUCACAUCUCCUGCCUUCCCAAGAACACGGAAGACCAAAAGUAAGAGUAACUUGAAGAGCUGUUAAUAGAUUGCAUAAACCAACAUGAGCACAAAGAGGAAAGUGAUCACGCUUCAAAUGAAUUAGCGGGUCUUUCUAAGGGGAAAGUUUCUAAUGAGAGGAAAGUUUAUUUUGUUUAUGAGGUUGGGGUUAUAUUGUAUAAAUAAUAUUCACCUUUCUUUUCACAGUAAAAAUUCUCACCUUGCUUGCGACCCCUGAGAUUUUAAUUUAAAAAGUAGUUACCAGACACGGUCCAGAAAUAAACACCCCUGUCUGAGUACACAUUAAUUGCUGGUGUCUGCAGGCGAGUGUCUGCUCCAAGUAUCUCAGCUAAGCUCUCCCUUCUAACGAGACAAAGUUCCCACAAUCCUGGAGAGCUGAGAAAUCCAGCUCUGAACCUGCAGCUCCACCUGACCUCGAGCUGUUAGGCUGGGAAGUGCCCACUUCCACUUCCAUGCUGUUUUGUGAGGUUUGUGCUGAUGCUGCGAUGAAGAAAUGCUGCGAAGGGAUCUGGCAUGCUUCAGUGCCAGGUACAGAACAAACAAACAAACAAAUAAAUAAAUAAAUGCAGUUCUCAUUUGGCACAAACCUCCUAGAAACAUAAAUAAUCAAAACCUGAUUAACAAACUGGUCAGUUUAAAAUGAAAAUAAUGAUCUUCCUUUGCCUUCCUGCUCCCAUCAGGAUGAUCACAAAAGGUUAUCUGUUUUAAUAAAACAAUUACACUCAACAAGCUGGCUUGUUUGCCAAUGGGAGGGUUUAGUUUUUGCAACCAGAGGGCAGCUUCCCGGGACAUCUCACCCCCAAAGGUCCCACCCAGCUGGUGGCCAGGGUGCUUUCGGACAGGUGAGUGCAGGUCCCAGGGCCAGCUCUCAGCCAGAAAAGAAAAGCCCUGGCAGGGCUGGCUGAGCUGCAAUGCCCGGCGCUGUGCGGUGGGUGCACAGGGAAAUGGAUGGGACUGGGGCCUCCCAUCACCCUCCAUCCCUCUCAUGGCCAAAAGUUACUCUGUAGGGGUUCAUCGGAGGUGAGAUGGUUGGGAAACAAAAAGAAGAGAGAAAAAAGCUUCUUAUUUGUUGAGAAUCCUGUUUUGAGCCUGGGUAUCAAGAAAAGCAGCUCUCUUUGUAUGUAACAUGGUACAUUACUGUAUUUUUUUCUCUUUUCUGCCUUGCAUGGUUUGGUUGUUGAGGUUUUUUUAUAUUAUUAUUCAAGGGUCAGGUCAUUGCUUCUGAACCUCUUUCUCAAGAACUGCAAGCAGUUCUGUUUGUAUGUAAUGUGGUACGUUAGCGUAUUUUUUUCCUCUUUUCUGCCUUGCAUAGGUUUUUGUUUUCUUUUCUUUUUUUUUAAUUCGAGGACCAGGUCAUUGCUUCUGAACCUCUCUCUCAAGAACUGACACUUAAAGUGCAAAUGAAGCUAAUGACAAGAGACAAUAUUUUAAUGUUAAUUAGAUAUUUCAUGUGUCUUAGUUCAUCAGAGCAAUAUUGCUCUUUUAUGUAUUACAUGAAAGCAGAGCUUUAGCUUGGAGGAAAACAGGGAACACAGUCAGUCAUAGAAGUAGUAUUCUCGGUUUUGUAAUUAUUAAAAUUAUUGUUACAUUUAGGAAAUCCAGGAAACUUUGAAAAGAAGAUACUUAAUAAUAAUAAUGGAGCUACUGCACUAUAGGAAGCCCUGGCAAAGCCUUUACAUCUUUUUCCUCGUACAUGAGCUGGCAUUGUAAAAGCCGUAGCCUUCCAAGCUCUUGCUAGGAGAGCAGACGGGUUUUCUGCAGAAUUAUAUUGCUAUAUAAUGCAGAAACCAGGUCUUUCUUUACCUACAUUCCCCCCUACUUCCUUUCCUACGACAUAUUACCUUUUUAAUUGUUAUGUUAAAACAACAAUGUGAGCUGCUAACACUGUGCAUCCCGGUGAAAUGGCCUAAUGAUGAUGUUCACCAGAACUAGGUACAUAAUGUACAAUAUUUUCUGUGAAUGUUUGCAUUCCUUGUGGCUUGGUUGCUGCUCCUUUUGUGUUCUUUCAGUGGUGAUUUGAGAAGUUGCAUUUCACUGCCAGGAAGUAUUUAUACAAAGCAAAUUUCAAAGUUGUGCACAUAUUUGAGGAAAAUGAAAUUUAAGGCCCUGUCACAGCAAUGAGCUCCUUCCAGAGAGACCUCAUGUGUGGACCCUGAACGCAGAAAACGCCUGGAGAAGGUCACUGCCUUGGCGGGAUCUGCAUUCAAACCCCCUUCCAUGAUGUCGGGGCUGCAGACACUCUCUAAUGCAGUGGUAUUAAGACAUCGUAAUCUGUGCACUGCUACGAGACCAGCAGCUGAACAGUGAUAUCAGAAAUCAGGAAGGUAAACAACUCUGGGCAAACUGUGCUCUGUUGUGGGAACUUCUCAGUCAGCAAAGACAAGAAAAUGCUUACAGAAAACAUCCAGCUCUUCAUGUUCCUGUGAUAUAUGUGCUGUUUGUGUGAAGCUCCUGCUCUACUGGGUUUGUCGCUGGCACAUCAGCAUGGCAGAGCAGCAGGCACAGGCACCCUUCAGCAGCGAGGAACAGGUCUGGACAUCCAGUCACCGCUUCUGGGUUUCUCUCUGCUUGCUGAGAGUUGGUUGAAAUAAUAUACGGUGGUGUGAAACAAAGCCGACUUGGAGAUCCUGUCUUCCCCAGCUGAAGAAACUCCUCGUAGCACCGUUCUGACCAUGGGUAUCUGCCUCCUAAAAAAAAGAUGCUUACACCCACCUCCCCGAAUGGUAUCACGGGGCGUUCACACAUACCUGAUGCAGGUGUGUGAAGAUGAGGAUGCAAAUGGAGCACUGUGACCCCCGAGUCACCCACCCAGCUCAGCUCCUGCUGCAAAGCCCGCCGGACCCAACUGCUACGUGCACUUUACAGCCAGACAACCCAACAAAUGGAACCCAAACCUCUUCAGCACUGGCAACCUGGCACGUGACAUUCUGAAGCACUCAGCGGCACAAGCAUGACUACAUGGUUUGCCUCUGAUGGUUUUUAACCUAAUAAGUGCCAAUGUAUGAAAGAAAAUCUAAACUAAGUUUUUCCCACAGCUUAGUUUAACAUGACUGGAAAGCAAGCCCGAUGGAUGUCCUCUGUGCAGUGUCACUCCUGUCCUCCUGCCGUUGCUUUCCCAGUGUCUCCUGCAGAGGUUUGCCAUCCCCCUGUCCACAAGGCCACAAGGUCAGUGCUGAAGGCUGAAUUCAGGUAACCUAAGCAAUAUCAUCCCUUGAAAAUAAACCUAAGGUUUAAUUAUAUAUUGUAUUAAUUACUCUUCAGAAAGCAAAACCUUCAAUACUAUUUUAAUUCCUUCUACUAGUAAUUAAGCUCUUUCAACCUAAUAAGAACAUAGAGAUUGACUUUUUAAACUCCAGUGGAGUACAGAGUAUUAGAAAAAGGCCUUGCAGAUGAAUUAAUUGACAACUGCCAGGCAAAGAGAUGCCAGCUUUGGCAGACAAUGCUUAAUAUUUCAGCCCAGCGUAGGCUGACCGUAGGGCUUGGCCAGCUGGUUCAAGUCCCUUGCAGUCUGGGGCAUCUCUCACUCUGCUGAACAACAGAUCUGUUGUUAGAAGUUAAUCCCUUAGUAAAGGAAUAUUUUUUAUAGCUAAGAAUCUGAGGUCCUGAUAACUCUCACCAAGUUUAAUACAAAAGAAAUUUAAUCUGCUGGUUAUGACUUCUUUUAUUAAUAUCCUGCCAUUUGAUUUAGACCGUGACGUGGAGAGAACACAUAGUUUUGCAGUUAAAAGGAAAAAAAAAAUGCCUGGCUUUAGAAGCUGAAAAUUACCAUCUUAUCAGAAGUUUCUGGGCACGCACAUCAAAAGUUCUCAGGACAGAUGGGUGGAAGAAUGGGUGGCUGCAUGGAUCCAUGGAUAGUGAAGAGACCAGAAGUCCCAGAAGGAUGCACUGUCAUUCUCUGCAACUCAUCAGAUCAGUCACAUUUUUAUAUAUUUCCUUUGCAAUGUCCAUUUUACCAGGCAGAAGACAAAUUUCAGUCGACCCUAGAUAGGCUCUUCAGCAUCCUGUUGCAAUGUGACAUAUGAAUGGUGCUGGUUACCUGCAAAGGAACUAAUGAGGUAAUUUCUGAACAAUACUCUUCUGAAGGAUCAUUAAAUGACGGUGAGUACCUUCAUGUGAUAGUUUGUCCCUCAUUCAUGUAGCAGUGCAGUUUACUGGUGUAGGUUGUCACAAUUUAGAUGUGGUAAUUAAAUGUUCAGUUUGACACCUAAGAUUUCUGAAGGAAAAUAUUUUUAACAAAAUGAAAUACUGUUCAAGAUUUACUCAUGUUUUGUCUAUAUGCCAUAGAAUCUCGACCAUUUAGAUGCCAUUAGUUCCUCUGCUGCCUGGCUAGCCACUGUUGCCUUUGGUGAUCCAGCUCGUCUAAACGCUACAGUGGUGGCAGUGCUCUUUGUGAUGGUUAUGUGAACGAGAGAUUACAAGUCUUUAAACACAACAUGUGAACUUCCAAGAUUUACAGAAAAGUCCUUGUAAAGAAAGAGAAAUGGAUUCAGCUGACCUCCAAGGGACCAGUUACCUGUACAGUGAUGCUGCUGCAAGGAAUCGAGACCCAGUUACAUGGCUAUGCAGGUAGAGGACGGAGUCAGCCUGAUCUCUGCAGGAGUCAGACUUUAAAGGCUGGCCAGACCCUUGGGAGCCAUGUGAGCCCUAAAGAACACAGCUCCAGGAGGAGAGGAUGCCCAUGAAGCUGGUGACAGCCCUAGUGUUUCCCUCCUGCCCCACGGUGAGCAAAGAGUGUUGCAAGACAGGCCAACUGAACGACAAACUUUCAAGUCCAGCAGCACAGACAUAGCACGGCGGGGCAGUGAAGAGCCUGUGAGUUUGUCCAAAAGACACAGCCUGGAAGGAGGCUGAUAUACCGAUGUACGAAAUUAUUUCCUCUUCCCUGUGGUAAGGUGGUGCCUGGUAAAGUGCAGGUUGGCCCUUUGGGCUGGAGGGGGUGAAGCCAACCUGCUGAGCUACCCCAGCAGCCGGGAGAUCAAUGCAUCUCUGAAUUACAGGCACGGCUUUUCUAGAUUAGAAACACAGGAUAUCUGGUUUUCUACUUGCACACCCAUAUGGUAAAUAAUAUGAUAUAUAUAUAAGAGGCAGGUGACAAUGUUACAUGUGUAGGUGAAAAGCAUUAAUAAAGCAGCAGCCCCGAGUCUCGUCGUUUCCCGUAGGCACGGUGUAUUUUUCAGGGAGCGGAGCAUUGCACUGCAGUGCAUUACCCCUGCCCUCUUACAUCCUGUAUUCUAUCUGCCUGCCAUGCCCGACAGGGCACCCCGCCGUGUAUCUCUCAAUUGCUUCUCAUGAGUAAGGACAUUAUUUUUGAUCCAAACUAAUAUGUAAUUAUCUAUUUCAGAAUGUUUUAUUAGGAAUUAGGACCCUUUUUAUAUUUUAACCAAACAUAUUCAUUUCACAGCAUGUUAAAAAUCAUUUUCUCUCUCCUAACUGUGUUUAUCCUUUCUCCGUAAUAUUUCACAGCUGAAGUCCUUUUCUAAGAGAGCUUGAAAAAUAUUAUCUGGUUUUAUUUUUUUUAAAUUGAGCAUAUAUGGACAAAAUCUGUCCUCUCCUUUUUUGUCCUUAGCAUUCUAAAAUGUACCUGUGUUCAAAUAUUAAGAAAUAAAACAAAUAUAAAUUAUGCAUUUUCCAAGUUAAUUUAAAAUGCAUUAUGCACUGCUUUGUUCUCUGGAAUUAGUAUUAUUAAGGGGACAGAUCUGUAUGGAUUAAUUUUGAGUCAGUUUAUUCACUUCUUUGUAAUUCAGUGGCAAGGAUUUCUGUCCCCAGGCAUCAAAUUAAAAUUUUUACUGUAAGUAACACAUACACAAUAUAGAGCUUUUUGUAUUGUUUCUUUGUUUUUCUAUCAGACAGCGUAUUUACAUAUUGUAUUAUUUCACAAAACCACCUCUUUAAAAGUAAACAAAACUUCCCCCCCCCCCCCGAAAAUUAUUUUAAUGUUCCCAUUGUCACUGUACCCAACUGGCACCUAGUUCUAGUUCCAAGGGGUUUUUCCCUUUCCACCAAUAAUCACAUAAUAUUUAGCUGUGUCUUCCCCGAGUUCUAUCACAAGCUGAAUAACCAUCCAACCUCUCUUUCCGUCCAAAUAUUUUUGGUGGUAUUUGAGCUGCUUUUCUAUGAUUAUUUUUUAAAAAACAAGCUAUUCAAUAAUCAUUUAAAAGUAUUGGUUUAUUGUAAUAAUUCUUUGCACUUCCACGUUUUAAAUCUUUAUUUUUCCCUAAACUGAGCAAGAAAAUAGAGUCUGCUUUCUUAAUUAGUCUUCUUUAAACAAAAUAUCCUUUCAUAUGCACUAAUAAAGACUAAGGAUCAUUUCUCUCUUGUUUAAAUAACUGCUUGCUGUAGUAUAAAAUUGUAAGAGACAUGAUGCAGAUCAAGAUGCUGGCUUGAAGUGGAGAAGAGGAACAAGCAGUGCAAUAAUAAGCAGAUUUUAAUGAUUUACUAUAAAUCAGCAUUUUUGCCCUGUCAGUGAGAUUGAAGAGGCAGACAGCUCCUCACAUGUCUGCCUAGCAAAUGUCUUCCUGAUGAAUCAUGUGCUCUGAAUCACUGAUCACAACAUUCAAACAGCACAUCCAAAUAAUGAGGAAAACAUAUACACAGCAUUCUUAUGGCUAGUCUAAAACUGCAGGAAUAUGUGUUUUUAGUGGUGUGGUAGUUAAACCCCUACAUUGAUACUGUGUCUGUUCAGCAGAGGGAAAUAUAAGGUUAACUAUUGAUGCCCUAGCUUUGCUUGCACUUGUUAAACCAACAGUGAAAAUCUAAUCUUUAGGUACUCUGCAGGAGAAAAGAAGGCAAAACUAGACAACAAUGUGUAUUUUUAAGUAUUUGCCAACAGAGAAAUGCAUCAACUACUUAUUGAGAGAAACAUCAUUGCCAUUAAUUAGCAAACUACCAAGGCUAUUGUUUUAUAUACAGGGUAGGUCAGAUGACCAUUAUUAAUAAUUUCAGUUGGUCACUAAGAUAACAGUGGUUAUAAAACGUUAUGUAUUCUAUGCCAUAAUACAUACUGAUCCUCCUUGCAAUCCUGUCAAAGGUUACAGGUAACUACAUAAUUGUCAUUAAAAUCACCUGCAGGGGUGGGGUGUCACUGACUCAAGUUCUCCGCAGCAAACCUCACAGGCAUUUAAGGAUGCCUUGGAUACAGUGAAGACUCUGUGGGGGUGAAUGGGAUGAAGUGCAGCCCCAAAAGCUCUGGGAGAAUUAAGGAACGAACUGCGGAGUGGGGUCUAGUCACAGCCUUCACAGGCAACACUCCCACGAGGAGCAGCGGGGCUUAGAGGUGUUAGACAAAACUUCCCUGAGUAAAUAUAGGAGCUGACCUACCUCUCUCCUCCUUGGAUUCAAGAAGGCUGAUAAUUUGCCCAGCAGUGAUAACUGUGGUAAUUGUUGUCCUCGAUGGCAGGAGAUGUUCUGGCGAGGCUUCCACACUGCUGCAGCGGAGUGAGGGUAAGCCCAUUCACAGGUCGGCACGGAGGACCUCAUCCUGCAGCUCGCUAUCUUGGCUGUUUGUGGAUAAUAUCAGGACUUGACUUUGGCUUCCAGCAGUCUCUGUCCUUUAACCUUUUAUUAACAACAUCAUUUAUUCAGCAAACAGUUAUGAAAGAAAUAACUUUGUGUUAGUAGGAACCUUGGAUUUAGAGACUUAAAAAAAAAAA